rnacentral:misc_RNA from 1 species
GAUGAAGAACGUAGCGAAAUGCGAUAAGUAGUGUGAAUUGCAGAAUUCAGUGAAUCAUCGAAUCUUUGAACGCACAUUGCGCCCCUUGGUAUUCCAUGGGGCAUGCCUGUUCGAGCGUCAUUUGUACCUUCAAGCUUUGCUUGGUGUUGGGUGUUUGUCUCGCCUUUGCGUGUAGACUCGCCUUAAAAUAUUGGCAGCCGGCGUAUUGAUUUCGGAGCGCAGUACAUCUCGCGCUUUGCACUCAUAACGACAGCGUCCAAAAGUACAUUUUACACUCUUGACCUCGGAUCAGGUAGGGAUACCCGCUGAACUUAAGCAUAUCAAUAAGCGGAGGA